CACGGGUGAGUAACACGUAUCCAACCUGCCGCUUACUCGGGGAUAGCCUUUCGAAAGAAAGAUUAAUACCCGAUGGUAUAAAGAGUUCGCAUGUUCUCUUUAUUAAAGAAUUUCGGAAGCGAUGGGGAUGCGUUCCAUUAGAUAGUUGGCGGGGUAACGGCCCACCAAGUCUACGAUGGAUAGGGGUUCUGAGAGGAAGGUCCCCCCACAUUGGAACUGAGACACGGUCCAAACUCCUACGGGAGGCAGCAGUGAGGAAUAUUGGUCAAUGGACGCGAGUCUGAACCAGCCAAGUAGCCGUGAAGGAUGACUGCCCUAUGGGUUGUAAACUUCUUUUAUAAGGGAAUAAAGUGAGGGACGUGUCCCUUUUUGUAUGUACCUUAUGAAUAAGGAUCGGCUAACUCCGUGCCAGCAGCUGC
rnacentral:rRNA from 1 species